UACAGAGGGUGCAAGCGUUGUUCGGAAUUAUUGGGCGUAAAGCGCGUGUAGGCGGCUUUGCAAGUCAGAUGUGAAAGCCCUCGGCUUAACCGAGGAAGUGCGUCUGAAACUGCAGAGCUUGAGUGUCGGAGAGGAUGGUGGAAUUCCGCAAGUAGAGGUGAAAUUCGUAGAUAUGCGGAGGAACACCGGUGGCGAAGGCGACCAUCUGGACGACGACUGACGCUGAGACGCGAAAGCGUGGGGAGCAAACAGG
rnacentral:rRNA from 2 species